UGAAGUAAGUAAGGGCGUACGGUGAAUGCCUUGGUGCCAACAGGCGAAGAAGGACGCGGCAAGCUGCGAAAAGCCUCGGGAAGCUGCAAGCAAGCGAUGAUCCGGGGAUAUCCGAAUGGGGUAACCUGAUCGAGGCAAUACUCGAUCGUUCAUACCUGAAUACAUAGGGUAUGAAACGCGAAACCCGCUGAAGUGAAACAUCUCAGUAAGCGGAGGAAAAGAAAGAGAAAUCGAUUCCGUAAGUAGUGGCGAGCGAAAGCGGAUGGAGCCCAAACCGAAGGUAUUCCUUCGGGGUUGUAGGACCACGACCUAUUCGACCAUACUGGAUAGUAGAACAGCCUGGAAAGGCUGGCCGUAGAAGGUGAAAGCCCUGUAGACGAAAUCCAGAGUGGGAAUUAGUGGUAUCCUGAGUAAUACAUCACACGUGGAACGAUGUAUGAAACCGCGCGGACCACCGCGCAAGGCUAAAUACUAGUUGGCGACCGAUAGUGAACAAGUACCGCGAGGGAAAGGUGAAAAGAACCGCUGUGAGCGGAGUGAAAUAGAACCUGAAACCGUAUGUCUACAAAGUGUCAGAGCAGAGCAAUCUGCGAUGGCGUGCCUUUUGUUUAAUGAGUCUGCGAGUCAGUGUUUGUGGCAAGACUAAGGGCUUCCGGCCCGGAGUCGCAGCGAAAGCAAGUCCGAACAGGGCGCAAUAAGUCGCAGGUACUGGACCCGAAGCGGAGGUGACCUACCCUUGGCCAGGUUGAAGCAUGGGUAAAACCAUGUGGAGGACCGAACAGGUGAACGUUGAAAAGUUCUCUGAUGAGCUGAGGGUAGGAGUGAAAGGCUAAUCAAACCCCGUGAUAGCUGGUUCUCUUCGAAAUGCAUUUAGGUGCAGCGUCACGUGCUGAUGCGCGGGGGUAGAGCACUGACAAGGCUAGGGGGCACACCCGCUUACCAAACCUUAUCAAACUCCGAAUACCGUGCAAUGGAACGUGGCAGUGAGACAGUGGGGGAUAAGCUUCAUUGUCGAGAGGGAAACAACCCAGACCAGCAGCUAAGGUGCCUAAAUAACGCUCAGUGGAAAGGAUGUGGGAUUACACAGACAGUGAGGAUGUUGGCUUAGAAGCAGCCACCAUUUAAAAAAUGCGUAAUAGCUUACUCAUCGAGUGAUCCUGCGCCGAAAAUGAUUGGCGAUCAAGCGUUAUACCGAAGCUCUGGACUUUGCCGCAAGGCAGAGUGGUAGAAGAGCGUUGCAUGCGCGUCGAAGGGUGAUGGCGACUGACCCUGGAGCACAUGCAAGUGAGUAUGCAGACAUGAGUAACGUUAAGCCGGGUGAAAUCCCCGGCCGCCGUAAACCCGAGGUUUCCAGGGCAACGUGUUUCGUCCCUGGGUUAGCCGGGACCUAAGCCGAGGCCGAGAGGCGUAGGCGAUGGACAUCAGGUUAAUAAUCCUGAGCUCGCGACCCUUAAACUGGGGGGACGCAUGAGAAAAGAUGACUAGGUUAUUGAAUUCCGAGUUGAGUCUACGGACUCAGCGCAUCAUUGGAUCGAGUGCCAAGAAAAGCCCCAGCGUAUGCUAAGCGACCCGUACCGCAAACCGACACAGGUGGGUGGGUAGAAUAUACCAAGGCGUAAGAGUGAAACCUGGUUAAGGAACUCGGCAAAUUAGCCCCGUAACUUCGGAAGAAGGGGUGCCUGCAGCGAUGCAGGCCGCAGAGAAAUGGCCCAACCGACUGUUUAUCAAAAACACAGCACUCUGCAAAGACGCAAGUCGAAGUAUAGGGUGUGACACGUGACCAAUGCCGAAAGAUUAAGGCAAGGGGUUAGCCGCAAGGCGAAGCUCUGAACCCAAGUCCCGGUGAAUGUCGGCCGUAACUAUAACGGUCCUAAGGUAGCGAAAUUCCUUGUCGGGUAAGUUCCGACCUGCACGAAUCGUGAAACGAGUUGGGCACUGUCUCAACCAGGCGCUCAGUGAAAUUGUAGUGGCGGUGAAGAUGCCGCCUACCCGCAGAAGGACGGAAAGACCCUAUAGACCUUAACUGUAAGCUGUCAUUGUUUCUUCGGUUUUAAUGCUCAGAGUAAGUGGGAGACGCUGAAGACGCCCUUUAGGGGGCGUCCGAGUCAUCAAUGAGACACCACCCUUUGAAACUGGAGGAUCUAACCCUGAGCCGUGAAUCCGGCCAGAGGACCGUGUCAGCCGGUCAGUUUUACUGGGGCGGUAUCCUCCCAAAGAGUAACGGAGGAGCGCGAAGGUGGGCUCAGCCCGGUUGGCAACCGGGUGUCGAGUGCAUGGGCAUAAGCCCGCCUAACUGUGAGACCAACAAGUCGAGCAGAUGCGAAAGCAGGCCCAAGUGAUCCGGCGGUAGAAAGUGGAAUUGCCGUCGCUCAACGGAUAAAAGGUACCUUAGGGAUAACAGGCUGAUCACGCCCAAGAGUUCAUAUCGACGGCGUGGUUUGGCACCUCGAUGUCGGCUCGUCGCAUCCUGGGGCUGGAGAAGGUCCCAAGGGUCCGGCUGUUCGCCGGUUAAAGCGGCACGCGAGCUGGGUUCAGAACGUCGCGAGACAGUUCGGUCCUCUAUCCUCUGUGGGCGUUGGAAAAUUGAGGGGUUCAGACCUUAGUACGAGAGGACCGGGUCUGACGCACCACUGGUGCAUCGGUUGUACUGUCAAGUGCAUGGCCGAGUAGCUAAGUGCGGACGGGAUAAGCGCUGAAAGCAUCUAAGCGCCAAGCCCUUCCCAAGAUGAGUUUUCCCUACAGGUUCGUGGAAGACCACCACGUUGAUAGGUCGCAGGUGUAAGUGCAGCAAUGUAUUGAGCCAAGCGAUACUAAUUACCAAUUGACUUCAUCAU
rnacentral:rRNA from 2 species